rnacentral:rRNA from 1 species
UACGAAGGGGCUAGCGUUGCUCGGAAUCACUGGCGUAAAGGGUGCGUAGGCGGCGCGGAAAGUUGGGUGUGAAAUCCCUCGGCUUAACCGAGGAACUGCGCCCAAAACUACCGUGCUUGAGGGAGAUAGAGGUGAGCGGAACUUAGGGUGGAGCGGUGAAAUGCGUUGAUAUCCUAAGGAACACCGGUGGCGAAAGCGGCUCACUGGAUCUCUUCUGACGCUGAUGCACGAAAGCUAGGGUAGCGAACGGG